GCGUCCGAUUAGCUAGUUGGUGAGGUAAUGGCUCACCAAGGCGACGAUCGGUAGCUGGUCUGAGAGGAUGAUCAGCCACAC
rnacentral:rRNA from 1 species